AAGGACAACUCUUGGGUUGAUGAAAGAGCAAAAAAAAAAAACAUAUGAAACAUUUCAAGGUAAGUUGCAACAAGCCUCUAAAGGUGGGGAAGCAUCUAGUAGUUGUAGCCAAGUGGUUAAUGUGGAAGCUCGCUUAGACAUGGGGGAAGAAUAAAGGGAGGAUCUAUGGUGCUGGAGAUAGAUCCUCGCUUUAUAGACCAGGUGUCGCAAGUCUAGUUCCAGAUUCUCGUCCAUCUAGAGGUUGCGCCAAUUUCUUGUCUCAACAAACUAACGAGAUAGCUGCACAGAUAGCAGCAUUUGAGGAGCGAGCAAAAGCGGCAGAACACGAGGCACGAGAGGCGCGAUAGGAGCUAAGGAAAGUUGAGCAACGUCGACAAGAGGAAGUUCAAUAAACAGAGCAACACACUACAUAACUACAGAUGUAGCUAGCAACAUUGGCAAAAAGUGUUGCUUCCAUACAGGCUGAGUCAUCCUGUCGUCGUCGUCAUCCAGAUUAUGACGAGGAUGAGUCUAACGAUGAUGACGGCGAGGAGUAAUAUUGGUUUCAGUUUCAGUUUUGUAUAGUAGUUAUGACUACUUAUUUUGUUUAGACUUGUAGGCAUUAUCUAUAUAUAUUUCUACGAUAGUGUCAUUAUGUGUAUUUUGAAACUUAUGGCAGUAACAAUGUGCUUAUUUUGGGAAUCAUGGUAGUGUAAAUUGUCCUUAUUUUGAGACUUAUGGAA